rnacentral:rRNA from 1 species
GGAGUCUGGGCCGUGUCUCAGUCCCAAUGUGGCCGUCCGGCCUCUCAGCCCGGCUACUGAUCGUCGCUUUGGUGGGCCGUUACCCCGCCAACUGGCUAAUCAGACGCGGGCCCAUCCCGUACCACCGGAGUUUUUCACACUGUAAGAUGCCUUACCGUGCGCUUAUGCGGUAUUAUCAGUCGUUUCCAACUGCUAUCCCCCGGUACGGGGCAGGUUGCCCACGCGUUACUCACCCGUUCGCCACUAAGUAUAGACAUGUUUUCUGCCGAAGCUUCAAACGGCGUCUAUACCCCGUUCGACUUGCAUGUGUUAGGCACGCCGCCAGCGUUCAUC